rnacentral:rRNA from 1 species
UACGAAGGGGGCUAGCGUUGCUCGGAAUCACUGGGCGUAAAGCGCACGUAGGCGGCUUUCUAAGUCAGGGGUGAAAUCCUGGAGCUCAACUCCAGAACUGCCUUUGAUACUGGGAAGCUCGAGUCCGGGAGAGGUGAGUGGAACUCCGAGUGUAGAGGUGAAAUUCGUAGAUAUUCGGAAGAACACCAGUGGCGAAGGCGGCUCACUGGCCCGGUACUGACGCUGAGGUGCGAAAGCGUGGGGAGCAAACAGG